rnacentral:rRNA from 1 species
UACGGAGGGUGCAAGCGUUGCUCGGAAUUAUUGGGCGUAAAGGGCAGGUAGGUGGUCUCAUUUGUCUGGGGUGAAAGCCCAGGGCUUAACUCUGGAAGUGCCCCAGAAACGGUGAGACUCGAGUAUCGGAGAGGUCGGUGGAAUACCCGGUGUAGCGGUGAAAUGCGUAGAGAUCGGGUGGAACACCAGAGGCGAAGGCGGCCGACUGGACGAUUACUGACACUCAACUGCGAAAGCGUGGGGAGCAAACAGG